rnacentral:rRNA from 1 species
UCGGAGCUGGGGUUGGCCGCAGAGACCAGCGAGAAGCGACUGUUUACUAAAAACACAGGUCCGUGCGAAGCCGUAAGGCGAUGUAUACGGACUGACGCCUGCCCGGUGCUGGAACGUUAAGGGGACCGGUUAGCUGGCUUUCGGGCCGGCGAAGCUGAGAACUUAAGCGCCAGUAAACGGCGGUGGUAACUAUAACCAUCCUAAGGUAGCGAAAUUCCUUGUCGGGUAAGUUCCGACCUGCACGAAUGGCGUAACGACUUCUCGACUGUCUCAACCAUAGGCCCGGUGAAAUUGCACUACGAGUAAAGAUGCUCGUUUCGCGCAGCAGGACGGAAAGACCCCGGGACCUUUACUACAGUUUGAUAUUGGUGUUCGGUUCGGCUUGUGUAGGAUAGCUGGGAGACUGUGAAGCCUGGACGCCAGUUCGGGUGGAGUCGUCGUUGAAAUACCAGUCUGGUCGUGCUGGAUGUCUAACCUGGGUCCGUGAUCCGGAUCAGGGACAGUGUCUGAUGGGUAGUUUAACUGGGGCGGUUGCCUCCUAAAGGGUAACGGAGGCGCCCAAAGGUUCCCUCAGCCUGGUUGGCAAUCAGGUGUUGAGUGUAAGUGCACAAGGGAGCUUGACUGUGAGACCGACGGGUCGAGCAGGGACGAAAGUCGGGACUAGUGAUCCGGCGGUGGCUUGUGGAAGCGCCGUCGCUCAACGGAUAAAAGGUACCCCGGGGAUAACAGGCUGAUCUUCCCCAAGAGUCCAUAUCGACGGGAUGGUUUGGCACCUCGAUGUCGGCUCGUCGCAUCCUGGGGCUGGAGUCGGUCCCAAGGGUUGGGCUGUUCGCCCAUUAAAGCGGUACGCGAGCUGGGUUUAGAACGUCGUGAGACAGUUCGGUCCCUAUCCGCUGUGCGCGUAGGAGUCUUGAGAAGGGCUGUCCCUAGUACGAGAGGACCGGGACGGACGAACCUCUGGUGUGCCAGUUGUUCUGCCAAGGGCAUGGCUGGUUGGCUACGUUCGGGAGGGAUAACCGCUGAAAGCAUCUAAGCGGGAAGCCUGCUUCGAGAUGAGGGCUCCCACCCACUUGAUGGGGUAAGGCUCCCAGUAGAUGACUGGGUUGAUAGGCCGGAUCUGGAAGCCAGGUGACUGGUGGAGGUGACCGGUACUAAUAGGCCGAGGGCUUGUCCUCAGGUG